GACGAACGCUGGCGGCGUGCUUAACACAUGCAAGUCGAACGGAAAGGCCCUGCUUUUGUGGGGUGCUCGAGUGGCGAACGGGUGAGUAACACGUGAGUAACCUGCCCUUGACUUUGGGAUAACUUCAGGAAACUCGGGCUAAUACCCGAUAUGAGCUCCUGCUGCAUGUUGGGGGUUGGAAAGUUUCGGCGGUUGGGGAUGGACUCGCGGCUUAUCAGCUUGUUGGUGGGGUAGUGGCUUACCAAGGCUUUGACGGGUAGCCGGCCUGAGAGGGUGACCGGCCACAUUGGGACUGAGAUACGGCCCAGACUCCUACGGGAGGCAGCAGUGGGGAAUAUUGCACAAUGGGCGGAAGCCUGAUGCAGCAACGCCGCGUGCGGGAUGACGGCCUUCGGGUUGUAAACCGCUUUCGCCUGUGACGAAGCGUGAGUGACGGUAAUGGGUAAAGAAGCACCGGCUAACUACGUG
rnacentral:rRNA from 1 species